rnacentral:rRNA from 1 species
GCAGCCGCGGUAAUACGUAGGGAGCGAGCGUUAUCCGGAUUUAUUGGGUGUAAAGGGUGCGUAGACGGGAAAAUAAGUUAGUUGUGAAAUCCCUCGGCUUAACUGAGGAACUGCAACUAAAACUGUUUUUCUUGAGUACUGGAGAGGAAAGUGGAAUUCCUAGUGUAGCGGUGAAAUGCGUAGAUAUUAGGAGGAACACCAGUGGCGAAGGCGACUUUCUGGACAGAAACUGACGUUGAGGCACGAAAGUGUGGGGAGCAAACAGGAUUAGAUACCCC